GGAUGAUUAGCUCAGCUGGUUAGAGCACUACAUUCACAUUGUAGGGGUCAUUGGUUCGAAUCCAAUAUCAUCCA
rnacentral:tRNA from 1 species